AAUUUUGGACAAUGGGGGCAACCCUGAUCCAGCCAGCCCGCGUGUGCGAUGAAGGCCUUCGGGUUGUACAGCACUUUUGGCCGGGAAGAAAAGGCUCUGGCUAAUACCUGGAGCUGCUGACGGUACCCGCAGAAUCAGCACCGGCUAACUACGUCCCAGCAGCCGCGGUAAUACGUAGGGUGCAAGCGUUAAUCCGAAUUACUGGGCGUAAAGCGUGCGCAGACGGUUCGGCAAGAAGGAUGUGAAAUCCCAGGGCUUAACCUUGGAACUGCAUUCUUAACUGCCGGGCUAGAGUAUGUCAGAGGGGGGUAGAAUUCCGCGUGUAGCAGUGAAAUGCGUAGAGAUGCGGAGGAAUACCGAUGGCGAAGGCAGCCCCCUGGGAUAAUACUGACGCUCAUGCACGAAAGCGUGGGGAGCAAACAG
rnacentral:rRNA from 1 species